rnacentral:rRNA from 1 species
UACGGGGGGGGUAAGCGUUGUUCGGAAUUACUGGGCGUAAAGGGCUCGUAGGCGGCCAACUAAGUCAUACGUGAAAUCCCUCAGCUUAACUGGGGAACUGCGUGUGAUACUGGAUGGCUUGGAUUUGGGAGAGGGAUGCGGAAUUCCAGGUGUAGCGGUGAAAUGCGUAGAUAUCUGGAGGAACACCGGUGGCGAAGGCGGCAUCCUGGACCAAUAUUGACGCUGAGGAGCGGAAGCAAGGGGAGCAAACGGG